CAGCAUGGGCUUUUGUUGACAUCUGAAUCAGUAUUUGCUAGUCUAUGAAUGUAAAUCUGUUUUGAAACAAUUAGUAAUGAGCUUCAGUGGAGAAGCUUUACUAGCCUCAGUGCAUCGGUGAAGGCAGUCGUGUUUAAUGCAGCGUUUAGGUGGUUGUUUUCAAAGAUGUAGCCAUGGGUCUGUUGACCACUGUUGACCUCAACGUAACCAAAGACACUAACACUUCCUUUCACCUGUGAAAGUCUGAUAAACCUCUGCUGGAAUACAACAUAUGAUGAUGUCAAGAAGAAAUGACAAAAACACGGUUUAACUGUUCAGUCACAUCGUAUAAUGCAGUAAAUGUAGGCUGUGUAUCAUCUAUUGACCCCCUGAUUCACUCAGUACUGUAUUCGUCUGAAAGAAGAAAGUCAUGUACAGCUAGGAUGGGCUUGAGGGUGAGCAGAUCAUGGGGGGGUCUUCACUGUUGGCUGAACUAUCUAUUUAAUGCACGUGUUGCUUUACAUGACAAACAACAUGCUGCUAACCCUACUGUUCAGUUAGAGCUAUGGAGUGCUGGACAUGCUUCACGGGACGGACAAGAAGUUUUGUAAUUGUAAAGCGUACGAGCGGCACACGGUCCUGCUCAGCGAGAGCAUCCCUGACCAUCCCAAGAUAGAACAAGAUCCUGUUUGAUUCACAUGCAGAGACCCUGAUUAUGAGACGAUCAGUCCUUUUAUUGUUGAUCCUGUGUCUCACAUGUAUUCACCGAUGAUGAAAAUGAUUUUAAUACUUGUGAUCAAUGCUGUAUUUUAAUACUGAAAUCUAGUAAUGGUGUUUGGAAAUGAAGUUGUGUUGUGAACUUUGUGAACUUUCUGUCCCUAAAGAUUUGUGACAUCAGUUUCUGGAGUUUAUCUUCUAACUUCACUCAGUAAAGCUGAUCAAAACUCAUAGUUCUAAAAAAAAAAAUAAUAAUAAUAAUUCUGAUGUGCAGGGUAAAAUAAUGAGUCUUUAAUUUUGCAUCUGGAACAAGAGUAUGUAAGAAAUGUAUUAUAUGGUCCCAGACCCCCGUGGGGCCCAGGAAACAUAAUCUUGGGAUUCCCUGGUUUCACUGAAACUAGAAAAGAAACCUAACACCAACUUUUUUUGUCCAAUAUUGUGCUGACACAAAACGACAUUGUUCGUAAUAUUUUUCUCAGUUUCAUUAGUAAUCCAAACUUUUUUUUCUUUUUUUUUUGCCUAAAACUUUGUCUCUUCUUGUUUAGGGUUUAAGCCUGUUCUGUACAUGAAAAAAAGUGACAUGACGUGGGGCCAAAUAUGGAGUCG
ensembl:lncRNA